rnacentral:lncRNA from 1 species
AGCCGUGAGCUAGCAGGCAGUCACCGUGGUUCCCCUCGCACUCCCCCUCCGGAGAAUUCCCCGAGAAGGCGGGCGCCGGCUUCGGCCCCGGGAUAGACCUGCGGCGGCGGCGGGAACGGCCACGCACAGGCACCCACAGCCACUUAGGAAGUUGGAGUCCUGGAGAGGAGAACACAGAACGUGGACAACUAGCUGUCAAAUUGCAGUAAAAGUUGGUUCAGGAAAAGUGGAAGCUACCCAGAUGUCUACCAAUUGAUUACUUCUGUUGUCUACAGUUUUC